CACUCUUUUCGGUGUUCUUAAUAUUUGCUCUUAGACCAUAGAGUUGAAAAAGCUAUCGACGAACAAAAGCUUCCGGCAGCAUCUGCAAAUAUGGCGGCACUGAAUUGUAUAGACCUCUCCAAUUCCGACAUACAAAAAUCUGUCUCUCUCCUCAGACAGGCUUGCUUGGACUCUGGAUUUUUUUAUGUAGUCAAUCAUGGUAUCAGCCCAGAAUUUAUGGAUGAGGUCUUUUCUCAAAGCAAAAGGUUCUUUAGUCUACCACUUGAUGAAAAGAUGAAGCUUCUCAGGAAUGAAAAAAACCGUGGUUACACUCCUCUUCUAGAUCAGCAUCUGGAUCCUGUCAACCAGAUACAUGGAGAUUAUAAAGAAGGAUAUUACAUUGGUGUGGAAAUACCAGAAGAUGAUCCUCAAGCCGAAAAACCAUUUCGUGGACCAAACUUGUGGCCUACAGCAGAUAUUUUGCCUGGAUGGAGAGAAACUAUGGAGAGAUACCACCGCGAAGCACUUGAGGUUGCAAGGGCAGUUGCUAGAAUUAUAGCCCUAGCACUUGACCUGGAUGGAAACUUUUUUGAUCAAUCAGAAAUGCUAGGCGAUCCUAUUGCAACUUUGCGGCUGCUACAUUAUGAAGGUAAAAUCUCUGAACCAGAGAGAGGAAUAUAUGGUGCAGGUGCCCACAGUGACUUUGGCUUGCUUACCUUGUUAGCCACAGAUGAUGUCACUGGUCUUCAGAUAUGCAAGGACAAGCAUGUUGAGCCUCAGAUUUGGGAAUAUGUGUCACCAGUGAAAGGAGCAUUUAUUGUGAAUCUUGGAGAUUUACUGGAGCGCUGGAGCAAUUGUUCUUUCAGGUCAACACUACAUCGAGUCUUGGUUGGCGGUCAAGAUAGAUAUUCUAUUGCUUUCUUCGUGCUGCCCAGUUUCAAUUGUGUUGUCAAAUGCUUGCCAACCUGCCACUCAGAGGAUGAUCCUCCGAAGUACCCACCCGUCACAUGUGGAGCUUGCUUGAUGCAGAGAUAUGAAGAUACGCAUGUUGAUCUGAGCUCCUAGGAUAGUUCGACCCUUGAUUGGCAAGGCAUCAGUUGUUUCAUGUAACGGAUGUUAUAAAAGAGAUUAUGUGCAGAGACUUUAGCGGAAAUCAGCCUUCUUGCAGAGAAUUGGAAGUAUAUUCUUGCCAGCUUAAAUUUUCAGGACCAUCACUCUGUACAAUUGGAGCUAGCAAAUUUAAUAUCGAUCACAAUUUAAAUUUUGCUCGAUACCUGCACAGUUGGUUUGAAAAUGAUACAUAUGCUCGAAAGUUAGUUACGUAAUUGAGGUCAAGCAAUUUUACAACAUCACAAGCAUUGUUGAUAGCAAAUUCAAAGAGAAUAUGGAUAUUCAAAUAUACAAUCAUGCGUACGGUAAACUUACUCUAUUUAAUUUAAUUACUGCACAAAUUUUUUAAAUUUAUAAUCGUAACCUAUACCUUCUUUCAUUUUUACUAGAUUAAAUAUUUUCGAAUACUCGUUUAUAUUCAGAACAUUAACAUAGAAAACAUGUUCUAUGAGCUAUGCAAAAAUUGUAGAUAACUAUGUAAAGGUCGUUUUCAAAAACAGUGUGUAUGCAUUGUAAUGACGUGGUCGACACUGUUGUUAGGUAAUUAAUUUCAACAAAUUUUUCUGUAUUGUAUAUAACAUUUUAGUUGUCAAACAGGUACAAUGUUAAUAUAUAAAUCAAAGAUUCCAGUGGUAA